GGCUGUUUUGAUGGUAGUGGGUUAUCAGAACUUAUUAACAUUAGUGUCACUAAAGUUGGUAUACAAUCCCCCAUUGCUAAAUUUGACUGGCUUUUA
rnacentral:Y_RNA from 1 species